rnacentral:rRNA from 1 species
ACGCUCGACACCUACGGGAGGCAGCAGUCGGGAAUAUUGCGCAAUGGAGGAAACUUUGACGCAGUGACGCCGCGUAUAGGAAGAAGGUUUUCGGAUUGUAAACUAUUGUCGUUAGGGAAGAGAAAGGACAGUACCUAAGGAGGAAGCUCCGGCUAACUACGUGUCAGCAGCCGCGGUAAUCUGAGCGGGCUGGCAAGGC